rnacentral:rRNA from 1 species
AAUGAACGCUAGCGGCAGGCUUAAUACAUGCAAGUCGAGGGACAGCACAGGUAGCAAUACUGGGUGGUAACCGGCAAACGGGUGCGGAACACGUACACUACCUUCCUUUAAGUGGGGGAUAGCCCAGAGAAAUUUGGAUUAAUACCCCGUAAUAUAGUUGAAUGGCAUCAUUUGAUUAUUAUAGCUACGGCGCUUAAUGAUGGGUGUGCGGCUGAUUAGAUAGUUGGCGGGGUAACGGCCCACCAAGUCUACGAUCAGUAGCUGAUGUGAGAGCAUGAUCAGCCACACGGGAACUGAGACACGGGCCCGACUCCUCAGGGAGGCAGCAGUAAGGAAUAUUGGUCAAUGGACGCAAGUCUGAACCAGCCAAGCCGCGUGAAGGAUUAAGGUCCUCUGGAUUGUAAACUUCUUUUAUUUGGGACGAAAAAGGGCCUUUCUAGGUCAACUGACGGUACCAGAUGAAUAAGCACCGGCUAACUCCGUGCCAGCCGCCGCAGUAACAC